rnacentral:rRNA from 1 species
UUGAGACGCGGCAUACGGCUCAGUAACACGUGGUUAACCUACCCUCAGGACGGGGACAAACCCGGGAAACUGGGGCUAAUACCAGAUAGGCGAGGACGCCUGGAAUGGUUCUUCACCCAAAGGGCUUUGGAAACAUGCUUUUCAAAGUCGCCUGGGGAUGGGGCCGCGUCCGAUCAGGUUGUUGGUGAGGUAAUGGCUCACCAAGCCUAUAACCGGUACGGGCCGUGAGAGCGGUAGCCCGGAGAUGGGCACUGAGACAAGGGCCCAGGCCCUACGGGGCGCAGCAGUCGCGAAAACUCCGCAAUGCACGAAAGUGUGACGGGGCUACCCCGAGUGCCGUCCGCUGAGGAUGGCUUUUCCUCGGUGUAACUAGCCGGGGGAAUAAGGAGAGGGCAAGACUGGUGUCAGCCGCCGCGGUAAUACCAGCUCUCC